GAUCCUGGCUCAGGAUGAACGCUAGCGGCAGGCUUAACACAUGCAAGUCGAGGGGCAGCAUGAUGAAACUUUCGGGUUUCAUUGAUGGCGACCGGCGCACGGGUGCGUAACGCGUAUGUAACCUACCUUUAACAGGGGGAUAACACUGAGAAAUUGGUACUAAUACCCCAUAACACCUUAAGAGGCAUCUUUUGAGGUUGAAAGUUCCGGCGGUUAGAGAUGGACAUGCGUUGUAUUAGCUAGAUGGUGAGGUAACGGCUCACCAUGGCGACGAUACAUAGGGGGACUGAGAGGUUAACCCCCCACACUGGUACUGAGACACGGACCAGACUCCUACGGGAGGCAGCAGUGAGGAAUAUUGGUCAAUGGACGCAAGUCUGAACCAGCCAUGCCGCGUGCAGGAAGACGGCUCUAUGAGUUGUAAACUGCUUUUGUACAAGGGUAAACCUCGGUACGUGUACCGAGCUGAAAGUACUGUACGAAUAAGGAUCGGCUAACUCCGUG
rnacentral:rRNA from 1 species